rnacentral:rRNA from 1 species
GUCGAACGCUGAAGCUUGGGUGCUUGCAUCUGGGUGGAUGAGUGGCGAACGGGUGAGUAAUACGUGAGUAACCUGCCCUUGACUCUGGGAUAAGCCUGGGAAACUGGGUCUAAUACUGGAUACUACAUUCUCUCGCAUGGGGGUGUGUGGAAAGGGUUUUACUGGUUUUGGAUGGGCUCACGGCCUAUCAGCUUGUUGGUGGGGUAAUGGCCUACCAAGGCGACGACGGGUAGCCGGCCUGAGAGGGUGACCGGCCACACUGGGACUGAGACACGGCCCAGACUCCUACGGGAGGCAGCAGUGGGGAAUAUUGCACAAUGGGCGAAAGCCUGAUGCAGCGACGCCGCGUGAGGGAUGACGGCCUUCGGGUUGUAAACCUCUUUCAGCACGGAAGAAGCGAAAGUGACGGUACGUGCAGAAGAAGCGCCGGCUAACUACGUGCCAGCAGCCGCGGUAAUACGUAGGGCGCAAGCGUUGUCCGGAAUUAUUGGGCGUAAAGAGCUCGUAGGCGGUUUGUCGCGUCUGCUGUGAAAGCCCGGGGCUUAACCCCGUGGUGUGCAGUGGGUACGGGCAGACUAGAGUGCAGUAGGGGAGACUGGAAUUCCUGGUGUAGCGGUGAAAUGCGCA